rnacentral:rRNA from 1 species
AUUGAACGCUGGUGGCAUGCUUUACACAUGCAAGUCGAACGGUAACAGGCCGCAAGGUGCUGACGAGUGGCGAACGGGUGAGUAAUGCAUCGGAACGUGCCCAGUCGUGGGGGAUAACGCAGCGAAAGCUGCGCUAAUACCGCAUACGAUCUAUGGAUGAAAGCGGGGGACCGUAAGGCCUCGCGCGAUUGGAGCGGCCGAUGUCAGAUUAGGUAGUUGGUGGGGUAAAGGCUCACCAAGCCAACGAUCUGUUGCUGGUCUGAGAGGACGACCAGCCACACUGGGACUGAGACACGGCCCAGACUCCUACGGGAGGCAGCAGUGGGGAAUUUUGGACAAUGGGCGCAAGCCUGAUCCAGCAAUGCCGCGUGCAGGAAGAAGGCCUUCGGGUUGUAAACUGCUUUUGUACGGAACGAAACGGUCCUGGUUAAUACCUGGGGCUAAUGACGGUACCGUAAGAAUAAGCACCGGCUAACUACGUGCCAGCCGCCGCUGUAAUAC